AGUUUGAUCCUGGCUCAGGAUGAACGCUGGCGGCGUGCCUAAUACAUGCAAGUAGAACGCUGAAGCUUGGUGCUUGCACCGAGCGGAUGAGUUGCGAACGGGUGAGUAACGCGUAGGUAACCUGCCUCUUAGCGGGGGAUAACUAUUGGAAACGAUAGCUAAUACCGCAUAAAAGUCGAUAUCGCAUGAUGUUGAUUUGAAAGGUGCAAUUGCAUCACUAAGAGAUGGACCCGCGUUGUAUUAGCUAGUUGGUGAGGUAACGGCUCACCAAGGCGACGAUACAUAGCCGACCUGAGAGGGUGAUCGGCCACACUGGGACUGAGACACGGCCCAGACUCCUACGGGAGGCAGCAGUAGGGAAUCUUCGGCAAUGGGGGUAACCCUGACCGAGCAACGCCGCGUGAGUGAAGAAGGUUUUCGGAUCGUAAAGCUCUGUUGUAAGAGAAGAACGAGUGUGAGAGUGGAAAGUUCACACUGUGACGGUAACUUACCAGAAAGGGACGGCUAACUACGUGCCAGCAGCCGCGGUAAUACGUAGGUCCCGAGCGUUAUCCGGAUUUAUUGGGCGUAAAGCGAGCGCAGGCGGUUAGAUAAGUCUGAAGUUAAAGGCUGUGGCUUAACCAUAGUACGCUUUGGAAACUGUUUAACUUGAGUGCAGAAGGGGAGAGUGGAAUUCCAUGUGUAGCGGUGAAAUGCGUAGAUAUAUGGAGGAACACCGGUGGCGAAAGCGGCUCUCUGGUCUGUAACUGACGCUGAGGCUCGAAAGCGUGGGGAGCAAACAAGAUUAGAUCCCCUGGUAGUCCCCGCCGUAAAC
rnacentral:rRNA from 1 species